rnacentral:rRNA from 1 species
UACCGCAUGACAUUUCGGGGGCACAUGCUCCUGUCUUCAAAGCCGCAAGGCGCCAGAAGAGGGAUCCGCGGCCGAUUAGCUUGUUGGCGAGGUAACGGCUCACCAAGGCGAUGAUCGGUAGCCGGUCUGAGAGGGAUGGCCGGCCACACUGGAACUGAGACACGGUCCAGACUCCUACGGGAGGCAGCAGUGGGGAAUCUUGCGCAAUGGGCGAAAGCCUGACGCAGCAACGCCGCGUGGGGGGAUGAAGCUUCUCGGAGUGUAAACCCCUUUCGACCCGGACGAAUGUCCGCAAGGACUUGACGGUACGGGUUAUAAGAAGCCCCAGCUAACUACGUGCCAGCAGCCGCGGUAAAACGUANGGGGCCAGCGUUGCUCGGAAUUACUGGGCGUAAAGGGUCCGUAGGCGNGUGUGACAAGUCGGUAGUGAAAUCUCCGGGCUUAACUCGGGAGGCUGCUGCCGAAACUGUUGUGCUCGAGUGCGAGAGAGGCGAGUGGAAUUGCGG